rnacentral:rRNA from 1 species
UCAGACGAACGCUGGCGGCGUGCCUAAUACAUGCAAGUAGAACGCUGAAGUCUGGUGCUUGCACUAGACGGAUGAGUUGCGAACGGGUGAGUAACGCGUAGGUAACCUGCCUCAUAGCGGGGGAUAACUAUUGGAAACGAUAGCUAAUACCGCAUAACAGUAUUUACCGCAUGGUAGAUAUUUGAAAGGAGCAAUUGCUUCACUAUGAGAUGGACCUGCGUUGUAUUAGCUAGUUGGUGAGGUAACGGCUCACCAAGGCUUCGAUACAUAGCCGACCUGAGAGGGUGAUCGGCCACACUGGGACUGAGACACGGCCCAGACUCCUACGGGAGGCAGCAGUAGGGAAUCUUCGGCAAUGGGGGCAACCCUGACCGAGCAACGCCGCGUGAGUGAAGAAGGUUUUCGGAUCGUAAAGCUCUGUUGUAAGAGAAGAACUGUGAGAAGAGUGGAAAGUUUCUCACUUGACGGUAUCUUACCAGAAAGGGACGGCUAACUACGUGCCAGCAGCCGCGGUAAUACGUAGGUCCCGAGCGUUGUCCGGAUUUAUUGGGCGUAAAGCGAGCGCAGGCGGUUUGAUAAGUCUGAAGUAAAAGGCUGUGGCUUAACCAUAGUACGCUUUGGAAACUGUCAAACUUGAGUGCAGAAGGGGAGAGUGGAAUUCCAUGUGUAGCGGUGAAAUGCGUAGAUAUAUGGAGGAACACCGGUGGCGAAAGCGGCUCUCUGGUCUGUAACUGACGCUGAGGCUCGAAAGCGUGGGGAGCGAACAGGAUUAGAUACCCUGGUAGUCCACGCCGUAAACGAUGAGUGCUAGGUGUUGGGUCCUUUCCGGGACUCAGUGCCGCAGCUAACGCAUUAAGCACUCCGCCUGGGGAGUACGACCGCAAGGUUGAAACUCAAAGGAAUUGACGGGGGCCCGCACAAGCGGUGGAGCAUGUGGUUUAAUUCGAAGCAACGCGAAGAACCUUACCAGGUCUUGACAUCCCGAUGACCGCCCUAGAGAUAGGGUUUCUCUUCGGAGCAUCGGUGACAGGUGGUGCAUGGUUGUCGUCAGCUCGUGUCGUGAGAUGUUGGGUUAAGUCCCGCAACGAGCGCAACCCCUAUUGUUAGUUGCCAUCAUUCAGUUGGGCACUCUAGCGAGACUGCCGGUAAUAAACCGGAGGAAGGUGGGGAUGACGUCAAAUCAUCAUGCCCCUUAUGACCUGGGCUACACACGUGCUACAAUGGCUGGUACAACGAGUCGCAAGUCGGUGACGGCAAGCUAAUCUCUUAAAGCCAGUCUCAGUUCGGAUUGUAGGCUGCAACUCGCCUACAUGAAGUCGGAAUCGCUAGUAAUCGCGGAUCAGCACGCCGCGGUGAAUACGUUCCCGGGCCUUGUACACACCGCCCGUCACACCACGAGAGUUUGUAACACCCGAAGUCGGUGAGGUAACCUUUUAGGAGCCAGCCGCCUAAGGUGGGAUAGAUGAUUGGGGUGAG